CGUGAGUGAUGAAGGCUUUCGAGUCGUAAAGCUCUGUCAAGUGAGAAGAACCUAUCCCGCGUUAAUACCGUGGGAUACUGACGGUAUCACUGAAGGAAGCACCGGCUAACUCCGUGCCAGCAGCCGCGUUAAUACGGAGGGUGCAAGCGUUAUUCGGAAUUAUUGGGCGUAAAGGGCGCGUAGGCGGUCUUUUAAGUCAGAUGUGAAAGCCCGGGGCUCACCCCCGGAAGUGCAUUUGAAACUAAGGGACUUGAGUAUGGGAGAGGGAAGUGGAAUUCCUGGUGUAGAGGUGAAAUUCGUAGAUAUCAGGAGGAACACCGGUGGCGAAGGCGACUUCCUGGACCAAUACUGACGCUGAGGCGCGAAGGCGUGGGGAGCAAACAGGAUUAGAUACCCUGGUAGUCCACGCAGUAAACGGUGAACACUAGGUGUAGCGGGUAUUGACCCCUGCUGUGCCGCAGUUAACGCAUUAAGUGUUCCGCCUGGGGAGUACGGCCGCAAGGUUA
rnacentral:rRNA from 1 species